AUGUGGGGCCGAAUGUGGAGCUCCGGAUGUAGAUUCGGUGGCGAGAGGGACCCGGAGCGCGAGCGGCGCGUCCGGUCGGACGACGCGAGGAAGCGCGGCGCCCGGAAGUGGACCAACCACGGGAUGUCGCCGCCGGCGAGCUUCAACCGCCGCGAGACGGAGGAGUAUGACCGCCGGCGCGCGUCCUUCUCCUCCGCGAGGUCUUCGUACGCCGGAUCCUCCGCGUCCUCUGGCGCGGGCUUUCUCCCCGUGAAGAGGGAGUGGUCGGAGGACGAGGAGGAGCCGGCGCCAUUCGCCUUCGUCCCCGUGAAGGAGGAGCCCGAGGAGCCUGCUCCGCUCGGCCGCCGCGGAGUCGUCAGGCCCGAGGACUACGUCGCGGACGUCGACGCCGUUGCGGCCGCCAUCGCCGAGCGGAGCGUGCGCGAGGAGAUGGAGCGCCGGCGCCACGCCGAGGAGAUCGAAGGCCUCGAGUGGCGGCAGGCGAUCGCCACCAACGAGAAGGCCGAGGAGUGGCGCCGCAUCCGCGCGGAGCAGGCGGCGAACGAGCAGGUGUCACUGGUCCUGACGCCGGGCAGCGAGGAGGUGAGCGGCCACGACCACAAGGCGCUGGUGGCAGCCCUGGUGGCCAACCGGGAGUGGGUGGAGGAGAAGGUGGUGGCCAACAGCGGUGUGCUGCUGCUCGGCUUCGACGUGCGCGACGCCGUGGAUUUCGACGCCAUAGUGGACGCGCUCGGGUGGCCGGACCGGGGGAGCAGUGACUAUCAGGAGUGGCUUUUCCAGGAGAGUCAAAAUGAGCAGAAGUUUGCAAACAUACUUUUGUAUCUUCGACUUGUGACAGCUAUUGAGAUAUGCACUGAGGUUGAACAGUUCAAGGCAUUCAUAACCGACCUUGAUCAAGGAAAGCCCGAUGCAACAAAGUACUGCCUGGAGGAGGUUCUCCCAUGA
rnacentral:rRNA from 1 species